GGGCGGUUAGCUCAGGGGGAGAGCACCUCGUUUACACCGAGGGGGGCGGCGGUUCGAUCCCGUCACCGCCCACCA
rnacentral:tRNA from 1 species